UGGGCGUAAAGCGCACGCAGGCGGUCUGUCAAGUCGGAUGUGAAAUCCCCGGGCUCAACCUGGGAACUGCAUUCGAAACUGGCAGGCUUGAGUCUUGUAGAGGGGGGUAGAAUUCCAGGUGUAGCGGUGAAAUGCGUAGAGAUCUGGAGGAAUACCGGUGGCGAAGGCGGCCCCCUGGACAAAGACUGACGCUCAGGUGCGAAAGCGUGGGGAGCAAACAGGAUUAGAUACCCUGGUAGUCCACGCCGUAAACGAUGUCUACUUGGAGGUUGUGCCCUUGAGGCGUGGCUUCCGGAGCUAACGCGUUAAGUAGACCGCCUGGGGAGUACGGCCGCAAGGUUAAAACUCAAAUGAAUUGACGGGGGCCCGCACAAGCGGUGGAGCAUGUGGUUUAAUUCGAUGCAACGCGAAGAACCUUAC
rnacentral:rRNA from 1 species